GGUCCCGUAGCAUAACUGGUAGUAUAGUGUGCUCAUAUCGCUGUGAUCUAUGGUUUAGUGACACAAAGGUCGAGGUUCAAACCCUCGCGGAACCG